rnacentral:rRNA from 1 species
UACGAAGGGGACUAGCGUUGUCCGGAAUCAUUGGGCGUAAAGCGCGCGUAGGCGGCGACCCAAGUCCGUGGUGAAAGCUCGUCGCUCAACGACGAGUCGGCCACGGAGACUGGGUGGCUCGAGCACUGUAGGGGCAGAUGGAAUUCCGGGUGUAGCGGUGAAAUGCGUAGAGAUGUGGAGGAACACCAAUGGCGAAGGCAGCCUUCUGGGCCAACACUGACGCUCAUGCACGAAAGCGUGGGGAGCAAACAGG